GCAGUCGCGAAUCUUUCGCAAUGGGCGAAAGCCUGACGAAGCGACGCCGUGUGAGCGAAGAAGGCCUUCGGGUUGUAAAGCUCUUUCGCUUGGGAACAAGAGAGGCUGGCAAAUAACCAGCCGAUUUGAGGGUACCAGGUAAAGAAGCACCGGCUAACUCCGUGCCAGCAGCUGCGGUAAUACGGAGGGUGCAAGCAUUAAUCGGAUUUAUUGGGCGUAAAGGGCGCGUAGGCGGGGAUGAAAGUCAGAUGUGAAAUCCCGGGGCUCAACCUCGGAACUGCAUUUGAUACUCCAUCUCUUGAGGAUAGGCGGAGAAAACGGAAUUCCACGUGUAGCGGUGAAAUGCGUAGAUAUGUGGAAGAACACCGGUGGCGAAAGCGGUUUUCUAGCUUAAACCUGACGCUGAGGCGCGAAAGCAAGGGGAUCAAACAGGAUUAGAUACCCCCGUAGUCC
rnacentral:rRNA from 1 species